AUUGAACGCUGGCGGCAGGCUUAACACAUGCAAGUCGAGCGGGGUGAUGGUGCUUGCACUAUCACUUAGCGGCGGACGGGUGAGUAAUGCUUAGGAAUCUGCCUAUUAGUGGGGGACAACAUCUCGAAAGGGAUGCUAAUACCGCAUACGUCCUGCGGGAGAAAGCAGGGGAUCACUUGUGACCUUGCGCUAAUAGAUGAGCCUAAGUCGGAUUAGCUAGUUGGUGGGGUAAAGGCCUACCAAGGCGACGAUCUGUAGCGGGUCUGAGAGGAUGAUCCGCCACAAUGGGACUGAGACACGGCCCAGACUCCUACGGGAGGUAGCAGUGGGGAAUAUUGGACAAUGGGGGGAACCCUGAUCCAGCCAUGCCGCGUGUGUGAAGAAGGCCUUAUGGUUGUAAAGCACUUUAAGCGAGGAGGAGGCUCUUUUGGUUAAUACCCAAGAUGAGUGGACGUUACUCGCAGAAUAAGCACCGGCUAACUCUGUGCCAGCCGCCGCCGUAA
rnacentral:rRNA from 1 species